GUGAGAUGAAAUCAGCGUUCGGACAUGCGAUUUUACGCUGAUUUCAUCUCAUGA
rfam:Solanum lycopersicum cultivar Heinz 1706 chromosome 1, whole genome shotgun sequence.